AGAGUUUGAUCAUGGCUCAGGACGAACGCUGGCGGCGUGCUUAACACAUGCAAGUCGAACGGUGAUGGCCAGCUUGCUGGUCUGAUCAGUGGCGAACGGGUGAGUAACACGUGAGCAACCUACCCCAGACUCUGGAAUAACCAUGGGAAACGAUGGCUAAUACCGGAUACGAGACGCACACGCAUGUGUGGUGUCUGGAAAGAUUUAUCGGUCUGGGAUGGGCUCGCGGCCUAUCAGCUUGUUGGUGGGGUAGUGGCCCACCAAGGCGACGACGGGUAGCCGGCCUGAGAGGGCGACCGGCCACACUGGGACUGAGAUACGGCCCAGACUCCUACGGGAGGCAGCAGUGGGGAAUAUUGCACAAUGGGCGCAAGCCUGAUGCAGCGACGCCGCGUGAGGGAUGACGGCCUUCGGGUUGUAAACCUCUUUCAGCAGGGAAGAAGCGAAAGUGACGGUACCUGCAGAAGAAGCGCCGGCUAACUACGUGCCAGCAGCCGCGGUAAUACGUAGGGCGCAAGCGUUGUCCGGAAUUAUUGGGCGUAAAGAGCUCGUAGGCGGUUUGUCGCGUCUGCUGUGAAAACCUAAGGCUCAACCUUGGGCUUGCAGUGGGUACGGGCAGACUAGAGUGCGGUAGGGGUGACUGGAAUUCCUGGUGUAGCGGUGGAAUGCGCAGAUAUCAGGAGGAACACCGAUGGCGAAGGCAGGUCACUGGGCCGCAACUGACGCUGAGGAGCGAAAGCAUGGGGAGCGAACAGGAUUAGAUACCCUAGUAGUCC
rnacentral:rRNA from 1 species